UACGUAGGGUGCGAGCGUUGUCCGGAAUUAUUGGGCGUAAAGAGCUCGUAGGCGGCCUGUUGCGUCGGUUGUGAAAGCCCGGGGCUUAACCCCGGGUCUGCAGUCGAUACGGGCAGGCUAGAGUUCGGUAGGGGAGAGUCGGAAUUCCUGGUGUAGCGGUGAAAUGCGCAGAUAUCAGGAAGAACACCUAUGGCGAAGGCAGCACUCUGGGACGGUACUGACGCUGAGACGCGAAAGCGUGGGGAGCGAACAGG
rnacentral:rRNA from 1 species